AUUGUGACUGCACACAUUAUUUGAAGCGUGAAGGAAAUAUUAUCUUGAGCGUGGAGAAAUAUUAUUUGAAGCGUGGAGAAAUAUUAUUUGAAGCGUGACGGAAAACAAGCGUCGAUGCGAGGGAGAUCGUCACGUGAAAAGGCCAUGUGCGCUGUUCGAUCAUGUAAACAAAGUGGAACGAAGACAGAAAGUCCAACGUUAGCUAGGCUAUAAGAGAUUCAAAGAGAAUUCAGAUAGGAAAUGGAACUAUUGAACAAUAAAUUCUGCCUGGAAGCAGGAAUUGCGGAAUACAGUGCAAGGGAUCCCCGAUACUCUAUUUCAAAAGUUAUUGAAAUGCCUAUGGAUGACGUCAUAACCAAUUUUGAAAAAUGUUUUGUUUGAAAGAAAAGGAUCUGAAGAAGGAGACAGAUCUAUUUAAAUUCGGAUGGAUUUAUAGACUGCCAGACUUAUUGCUAUCACUUAAUUCUGUACUACUACAUCUUUUACACUGAGCCUAUAAGUUUUAGACUAGAUGAUUUAUCUAAUUUGAGAAUCCAUGACAUCAAUCUUUAAGCAUUUCAAGAUUACCAAUACAGAAUAUGUACAGAUGCAAUAGCAGAUGAAAUCCCACAUGUACAUACACAAACAGGACACUGAUAUGUUACUGAAAUUUAGAGAUAUUUCAUUUCUCUCUUGUGUGGAUUGAAAUUGAUCUAAGAAAAAAAAAAGGUUUAUGUCAGACUGAAACAAUAUAAUAAACAAUUUUCUUUA